GUGCCAGCAGCCGCGGUAAUACGGAGGGUGCAAGCGUUAUCCGGAUUCACUGGGUUUAAAGGGUGCGUAGGUGGGCAGGUAAGUCAGUGGUGAAAUCCCCGAGCUUAACUUGGGAACUGCCGUUGAUACUAUCUGUCUUGAAUAUCGUGGAGGUUAGCGGAAUAUGUCAUGUAGCGGUGAAAUGCAUAGAGAUGACAUAGAACACCAAUUGCGAAGGCAGCUGGCUACACGGUAAUUGACACUGAGGCACGAAAGCGUGGGGAGCAAACAGGAUUAGAAACCCUCGUAGUCC
rnacentral:rRNA from 1 species